GGAAGUGUCUGAAACUGGCCCUUAACUAGCGUAGGUCAGUUUAUAGUUUCUUCUCACAAAGACCAUUCCUGCAGGCCCCUGUUACCAACCCCCUGCCACCUAAACUCAAUACAAGGCCACAGAAGUUACUGACCUUUGUAUAUCUGAGAAAAGGUCAUAUGCAUUCAAAUACCUAAGCACUAUUUAACACCACUGUACAUUACUCACGCACAACAAAACUUUUCUAAAUAACAGAUAAUGCAUUAGGAUAAUGCAUAAAAAUAUAUUAUCUUUUUGAUUCUAGUACUUUUUACAAAUUUUUCCUUUAGGUAUACUAGGAGGGAAUGAACAAAGAAAAGUUAAGAUUAAUACAAAUAGAAACAAUGUUGGUUCACUUAUGGGCAAAAACAGAGUUGUGGGGAGAGGAAAGAUAUAGGUUUUCAUCUUAUGAUAUAUCGUAAUAGGUAAGGUGCUGGGAAUACAUGUGCUUGAACUUUGGGAUUUUCCUCUUUUCCUAUGCCCCAAUGCUUUACCAACUCCUUUAAUAUUAUCUAACAUAUACAUUUUUUAAUAGUAGUGUCAAGGUCCCAAGUGUGCUAAUAGGUCUUAACUACUCUAAUUAAUCUCACUUGGGACCCUUAUCGGCACCCUGCCAGCAGUGGUGUUUCAGCUGUGGCUCAGGCCCUCACUCCUCUUUUGAGUUAGCUACAGGUGUAGCUCUGUUCCUGAAUUGUUUUGAAAUUUCUUCAGAGUAGCCUCAAACGUGAUUCCAUGAUGGCUAGUGUGUUGUCAACAGGAGUUUUUGUUCUCUUUCCUAUUCCAGUGGGAUAGUUUUGUUUGUGCUGGGGACAUGUGCAGUUCUUGGCUCACGUAUGCUUGUGGGGUGCUUUGCUCCUGCGGCCUGUGAGAUGCCGUUGGUUAAUGCAUGCAUUAUUGUUAUGAAAUGAAGCUAUGAAUGUAAAACCAGAAGAUUUGCAGGGACAAUAUAUUUUAAUGCAUAAAACCUCAAGCAUGAAACCAAAUCCACAGAGCUUUUUCAGCAUCAACAGAUCUCUUGAGCUGAAGAGCUACUUGAUGGUGUGAAGACAUACGUGCUGUCCAAUCAUAUACAGUUCAACAGAUUAUGACUUUCUCCUCAUCUAGAAGGAGCAUCAAGAGGUGAUUCUCUGUUUUUUAAUGAGUUUUGAAAAUAGCAAUCAGCACCUCAGACCAUCUUUGGACUGGAAAAAACACUUCUGUUGAGCAUGCUUACCUCUCACUCCUUUCUUUUUUUUUUGGUGAAUGUUUUUUAAAAAUUUUUCUCUCAAUUUCCAGAAUUCGGUCUGUGUGGUUAGACUGAGCACAUAAAUGAAUUCUGUUCUUUGUAUUAUUUUAAUAUUCUUAACUAAACAUGGGUGUUUGUAUCCAAAUGAAAAUGUCCACUAAUUUGUUGCACCUGUUGAUUUGUUAUGUAUCCCAACUGGAAGGCUGUCUUUCACUGGAGUAAUAUGAAACUUAAGGGCCUUCAGAUAGAAUUCAGGAGAAUUUUUGAAGACUGUUGCAUAUCGUUAAGUAUUUUUAACGUUUAAGUGUAAUCAGAUCUGUGUUAUCCAAUUAAAAAGGCUAAACCUGAAUCAAGCUUUAAUUAACAUGUGUGAAAGCCAGCUAUUUUGAUGCUGCAUGCAUCUUGCCAGUUGCUUGACCACUGGGAAAACUAAAACCCUAGGCCUGCUGAAUCACUGCUGUCCUCAUGAUGAAGUUGGCCUUCUUUCUGCCUCAGCUUUCCUGUUGUGACUGCUGGUGGCAUGAAGGCAUUUUGCCACUUGGCUGGAGUGUGGUGAGGGGUCAGAGUCCUGCCGUCUUCACAGCACCUGCUCCUUAGGGUGCUAGAAGGAUGACACUUCUGUAUCUUGGAAUUAAACAUGCAGGUAUGUUGCAUAAAAGUUAAAAAAUAUUAGCAUAUGAAUUACAACCUGUAUAAAUUCAGGAAAAUUACUCAGAAAACACAUUUGUUUAAUGCUGUGAAUGUACAAAGGAGGGGGAGACAGGUAACAGCUGGCAAGCAUUGCAGACAACUGAGUGUUCCCUAAGUGUUUUUCCAAAGGAUAUUUAUCCAAAAGUGAUGUGGUUUUUAUUGAACUCAACCAAGUGAUUGCCCUGCUGUUUGCAUCAUCUGUGUGGAUUGUCUUGUAGGUGGGCUGCUCCAAAUCUAUCCUGUAUACUAAUAAAGUAAGCUUUUCCUUUUACUUGAGGCUCUUA
rnacentral:lncRNA from 1 species